AGACCAAGCCCAGGGCCUAGCGCAGAAGCGGGUCCUGGGCCUGAGUCCCGCUGGCUUCCCGGGUGCAGGCUCCACCAGGGAGAAGCAGCGGCCCUUCCUCUCUCUGGCUUGCCCUGGGGAGAGGGGCGAGAGGAGGCAAUUCCGAAAGCCCCUCAUUGUGCGGAGUGGCUUUUUCUUUCUUUUCUGCAUCACAUGCACUGAAUGCCAUUUUUCAAAGUGCUCCCAGAGGGGCGGGCAGCCAGGUGAUUUCCCAGAAGCCGGAGGAAGAGCCACAGGACGCAAGGCCCACAUAGCUCAGGGGACUUCAGGGAGGGCCACACCACUGCUGCUUACAGGAACUCGGAGCUUCCUGCCUUGGCAGUCAUCCGGGGAGAAUUGUUACAGCACGGGCAGGGCCUAGGAGAGAGCUGCAGUGCAGCGGGCGAGAGGCGGAUCCAGCUCCUAGGUGCUGAGGUCUGCGGUGUGGACAUGGGAGGCCCACGGUUGGCGACACGGACACUGUCGGGGAGGGUGCUCAGCAUUGCUCACCUCCCUGGGCCCAGGACAUCACCGUGUGAUGGUCAGCCACCCUGUGGGGCGUCUGAUGGUCACACAGAGGGUGGCCACAGACCUGGGGCUACGGCUUAGCCCUGCUCCCGCCUCGCUCCUGGGACUGCUUGGUUGGGGGUGAAGGGGUGGUGUGGGAGAAGGGACCGCGGUGUCGAACACGGCCAGGGUCACCCCAUCCAGGCUGUGAGGGGAGUUUCACCUGCAGGGACAGCUUCCUGACCAGGACCAGAGCCAGCGAGCAGCACUCGCCUCACUCCCAACAG
rnacentral:lncRNA from 1 species